CCUACGGGAGGCUGCAGUGGGGAAUAUUGCACAAUGGGGGAAACCCUGAUGCAGCAACGCCGCGUGAGUGAAGAAGUAUUUCGGUAUGUAAAGCUCUAUCAGCAGGGAAGAAGAAAGACGGUACCUGACUAAGAAGCCCCGGCUAACUACGUGCCAGCAGCCGCGGUAAUACGUAGGGGGCAAGCGUUAUCCGGAUUUACUGGGUGUAAAGGGAGCGUAGACGGCCGGGCAAGUCUGAAGUGAAAGCCCGGGGCUCAACCGCGGAACUGCUUUGGAAACUGUAUAGCUUGAGUGCUGGAGAGGCAGGCGGAAUUCCUAGUGUAGCGGUGAAAUGCGUAGAUAUUAGGAGGAACACCAGUGGCGAAGGCGGCCUGCUGGACAGAAACUGACGUUGAGGCUCGAAAGCGUGGGGAGCAAACAGGAUUAGAUACCCUAGUAGUC
rnacentral:rRNA from 1 species